rnacentral:rRNA from 1 species
GACGAACGCUGGCGGCGUGCUUAACUCAUGCAAGUCGAACGGAAAGGCCCCUUUGGGGGUCCUCGAGUGGCGAACGGGUGAGUAACACGUGAGUAACCUGCCCUUGACUUCGGGAUAACUUCAGGAAACUGGGGCUAAUACCGGAUAGGAAUCCUUGCUGCAUGGUGGGGGUUGGAAAGCUUCGGCGGUUUUGGAUGGACUCGCGGCUUAUCAGCUUGUUGGUGGGGUAGUGGCUUACCAAGGCUUUGACGGGUAGCCGGCCUGAGAGGGCGACCGGCCACAUUGGGACUGAGAUACGGCCCAGACUCCUACGGGAGGCAGCAGUGGGGAAUAUUGCACAAUGGGCGGAAGCCUGAUGCAGCAACGCCGCGUGCGGGAUGACGGCCUUCGGGUUGUAAACCGCUUCCAGCAGGGGCGAAGCUUGUGGUGACGGUACCUGCAGAAGAAGCACCGGCUAACUACGUG